rnacentral:rRNA from 1 species
AUACGGAGGGGGCUAGCGUUGUUCGGAAUUACUGGGCGUAAAGCGCACGUAGGCGGCUUUGUAAGUCAGAGGUGAAAGCCUGGAGCUCAACUCCAGAACUGCCUUUGAGACUGCAUCGCUUGAAUCCAGGAGAGGUCAGUGGAAUUCCGAGUGUAGAGGUGAAAUUCGUAGAUAUUCGGAAGAACACCAGUGGCGAAGGCGGCUGACUGGACUGGUAUUGACGCUGAGGUGCGAAAGCGUGGGGAGCAAACAGGAUUAGAUACCCGAGUAGUCC